CGUCAACAAUCUAACCUAAGGUAGGGCAUAACUUCGGGAAACUGAAGACGAUUCCCUAUAGAAAACAGAAACUCGGAGAAGCCUGUUUUUCAAAGCCUCGGCGCCUUAGGAUGAGUUGGCGGCAGAUUAGGCUGUUGGUGGGGUAAUGGCCCACCAAACCAAAGAUCUGUAGGGGGAAUGAGAGUUCGAGCCUCGAGAAGGACACUGAGACAAGGGUCCUAGCCCUACGGGGUGCAGCAGAUGCGAAACCUCCACAAUGCACGCAAGUGUGAUGGGGGAAUCCCACGUGCAUAUCGUAAGAUAUGCUUUUGUCAAAUGUAAAUAGUUUGGCGAAUAAGGAGUGGGCAAGACCGGUGCCAGCCGCCGCGGUAAUCCCGGCGCUUCGAGUGGUGACCGCGUUUAUUGGGCCUAUAGCAUCCGUAGCCUGUUGAAUAAAUUUCUGGUGAAAUCUGGCAGCUUAACUGUCAGGCGUGCCGGAAAGACUGUUUAACUUGAGACUGGGAGGAGUCAGGAGUAUUCCAAGGGGAGCGGUAAAAUGUUUUAAUCCUUGGAGGACUACCGGUGGCGAAGGCGCCUGACUAGAACAGGUCUGACGGUGAGGGAUGAAAGCUAGGGGAGCAAAGAGGAUUAGAUACCCUCGUAGUCCUAGCCGUAAACGCUGCCUGCUUGGUGUUGUGUAUUUUUUGAGAAUAUGCAGUGCCGUAAUGAAGAUGUUUAGCAGGCCGCCUGGGGAGUACGGUCGCAAGGCUGAAACUUAAAGGAAUAGGCGGGGGAGCACUACAAGGGGUGCGCGCUGCGGUUCAAUUGGAUUAUACGCCCGGAACCUUACCAGCGGCGAUAGCAGAAUGAAGGUCUGUCUGAAUGUCAUACUCGACACGCUAAGAGGUGGUGCAUGGCCGCCGUCAGCUCGUGCCGUGAGGCGUUCUGUUAAGUCAGAGAACGAGCGAGACCUGUGUUUCCAGUUGCUAAUUGUUUUUGGAUAAAAGAAAUGAUGCACAAUGGAGAGACUGCCUUCGUAAGGAGGAGGAAGGUGCAGGCAACGGUAGGUCUGUAUGCCCCAAAUCCGCUGGGCUACACGCGGCAUGCAUUGGUUGAGACAACGGGCUGCAACUCCGAAAGGAGAAGCGAAUCCCUUAACCUCAAUCCUGUUCGAAUCGAGGAUUGCAAUUCAUCUUCGUGAAGGCGAAAUCCCUAGUAAUUGCACGUUAGCAACGUGCGGUGAAUAUGUCCCUGCUCCUUGCACUCACUGCCUGUCAACCCAUCCGAGCCGGGUUUGGAUGAGGAUUCUGAUGAAGAAUUCGAAUCUGAGCUCAGUGAGGCGGGGUAAGUCAACACAAGGUA
rnacentral:rRNA from 1 species